CCAGACUCCUACGGGAGGCAGCAGUGAGGAAUAUUGGUCAAUGGGCGGAAGCCUGAACCAGCCAAGUCGCGUGAGGGACUAAGGCCCUGCGGGUCGUAAACCUCUUUUGCCGGGGAGCAGUUGUCCGGACGCGUCCGGACCGGGAGAGUACCCGGAGAAAAAGCAUCGGCUAACUCCGUGCCAGCAGCCGCGGUCAUACGGAGGAUUCGAGCCUUAUCCGGAUUUAUUGGGUUUAAAGGGUGCGUAGGCGGGCAGUUAAGCCUGGGGUGAAAUGUGGGGGCUCAACCCGUGCCUGCCGUCGGAACUGGGUGCCUUGAGUGGGCGAGAAGUAUGCGGCAUGCGUGGUGUAGCGGUGAAAUGCAUAGAUAUCACGCAGAACCCCGAUUGCGAAGGGAG
rnacentral:rRNA from 1 species